rnacentral:rRNA from 1 species
UGGGGAAUAUUGCACAAUGGGCGCAAGCCUGAUGCAGCCAUGCCGCGUGUGUGAAGAAGGCCUUCGGGUUGUAAAGUACUUUCAGCGGGGAUGAAGGGAGUAAAGUUAAUACUUUUGCUCAUUGACGUUACCCGAAGCAGAAGCACCGGCUAACUCCGUUCCAGCAGCCGCGGUAUUACGGAGGGUGCAAGCGUUAAUCGGAAUUACUGGGCGUCAAGCGCACGCAGGCGGUUUGGUAAGUCGGAUGUGAAAUCCCCGGGCUCAACCUGAGAACUGCAUCUGAUAAUGGCAAGCUUGAGUCACGUAGAGGGGGGUAGAAUUCCAGGUGUAGCGGUGACAUGCGUAGAGAUCUUGAGGAAUACCUGUGGCGAAGGCGGCCCCCUGAAAGAAGAAUGACGCUCAGGUGCGAAAGCGUGGGUAGCAAACAGG